rnacentral:misc_RNA from 1 species
UCCUGGUUGACCCAGGCAGUUCCAUGUGAAAAAGCAACACAUGGUAGGGGUUGCGCUCGUUAACCGACUGAACGGGACACUUCACAGCACGAGCUGACGACAACCGUGCAACACCUGUCAUCUGGUUCCUUGCGGCACGGUCCGGUUUCUCGGACUUUCCAGAGAUGUCAAGCCUUGGUAAGGUUCUUCGCUUAGUUUCGAAUUAAACCACACGCUCCACCACUUGUGCAGGUCCCCGUCAAUUCCUUUGAGUUUUAAGCUUGCGCUCGUACUCCCCAGGCGGCAUACUUACCGCGUUAGCUGCGCCCCAAGGGAGGGUCGAUACUCCCCAAGAGCUAGUAUGCAUCGUUUACGGCGUGGACUAC